GCCCUAGAAAGCCCCGCAGGCA
rnacentral:tRNA from 1 species